rnacentral:SRP_RNA from 1 species
GCUGGGUGUGGUGGUGCACACCUGUAAUCCCAGCUACUCAGGAGGCUGAGGCAGGAGAAUUGCUUGAACCCAGGGUGGUGGAGGCUGCAGUGAGCCAAGAUUGCACCACUGCACUCCAGCCUGGGUGACAGAGCAAGAUACUGUUUUAA